UUGCAGCUCUGGCCAAAUUUGUGGAAACCAACUUCAAAAAACUUGAUAUUCUGGUAAGAAAACUUAAUAAUACUCCUUGCGUUCCUAAAUUAGUGCUCUGAGGAAAUUCUUAUCCAGGUCAAUAAUGCUCUGAGGAAAUUCUUAUCCAGGUCAAUAAUGCAGGAGAUAUUGGAUUGAUUGUAUAUAAAGCACUUAAGGACUAUAAAGAUGGAGCAGGGUUUGUAAGUAUUUACAGCUUCCAACUUGUAGCUUUUUUAUCAAAACAUAUUUGCCCUCUGUAUUUAAGGAGAUAUAGCAUUAACUUUUCCUAGAUACACUAGUAAUCCAGGAUGUAUUUGAAGUGAACUCCCAAUACGUUUGUCCUUGAGAAAAAAAUCAUCCUAUGUUAAACAGAUGAUCGGCAUAAGAUUACUGUGGUAGCUAGAUAUAGAAUCUCACCGGACAAACACAAGUGUAACCUCUAUUUUUUGUUUACCAGCUAAAGGUGACUGAUGAAGAUGCCCAUUUGUUGAAAGGAAUUUUGGAGCAGAGCUAUGAAAUGGCUGAACCUUGUAUCAGAACAAAUUAUUAUGGAACAAAAGCCGUGACUGAAGAACUACUUCCACUCCUCCAACUUUCCAAUUCAGCAAGAAUAGUGAAUGUCUCAUCCUUAUUUGGAGAGCUAAAGGUAACUCAAUUAAUAAAACUCUGUGCUCAAUCCGAAUAAACACAAAGCUAAAUUCUUCCUUUUACAAUUUCAGUGGAUCCACAAUGAAAAGGUCAAAGCUGAGCUGCAAAAUGUAGAAAGCUUAACAGAAGAGAGAAUCGACGAGAUUUUGCAGUGGUUUCUGAGGGAUUUUAAGGAGGAUAAGUUGAAGGUUAACGGUUGGCCUACGACGGUAUCUGCAUAUAAAAUGUCGAAAGUUACAAUCAAUGCCUAUACAAGAUUGCUAGCCAAACAAUUCCCCAGUAUGCUAGUCAAUUGUGUUCAUCCUGGAUAUGUACAAACAGACAUUACGUGUAACACAGGACCCUUGACCCCUGAGGAAGGUGCUAGAGCUCCGGUAAUGGUGGCUUUGUUGCCUGAUGGUGCUCCUUCUGGCCUCUACUUUUAUGAGAUGCAAGCAUCCAGUUUUUAAUACAUGUAUAAAUAUAUGCAUAAAUAACAAGGGAAACACCACAUAUAAGAAGGUAUCCAACUUACAUUGAUGUACUUUUAAGAAAUGUGUUGCUUUCUCAUCUUGUAAGAACUUGUAACAUUUGAAAGUUCCAUUGUAUUGAAUAAAUUAUAUGGAUUCCCUUGCAACUUGUCAGGAAAAAUCGUAAAAGAUCCAACUCAUUGACAGCUGCAAUUAAGGGUACAUUUCUAUGUUCACAUGUUGGUGUUAGAUAAUAACAACACAACAAAAAAAAUAAUAGCAAAGAGAAAUUAAAAUAAAAAUAAUCACAUUGACACAAAAUUUAUGUGGUUAACCCAAACAUUACAGUCGGUGUAGAAUAAGCAAUAGGGUAUACUGAGUUAUAACCAUAUGUGGGUAUUGCGUAUAGGUCGACCCUAAUUUUCUAUUAUGUUUUUUGCAUUGGUAGUGUUUAUGCAAGACACACCUUCCGAUUUAUACAUGCAUUUAGAUUCGCUGUCCGAUGUGUGAUUUGCAUGUGUGACAUUAUUUUGACUUGUCUGUGUGACAAGGUUCUAUUUUGUUUUGAGCUCGGUAUGAAAUAACCAUUUAGCCACAUUGAUUCAAUAUUUUGUUUGUUUUGUUAAUUAUGUUGAUUCAGAUAUAUUCAAAUUUUGAAUAUUAUAUUAUUGGCGUUAUUUAUGUUUGAGACUUUGCUCAAUAUUUUGUCAGUUGAUUUCGUUUUUAAGUUGCGCAUCUUUUGUAUAUCUUUAUUUGUAUUGGACAAUUUGUUCAUGCUGUAUUAUUUUUUCGACAUGUUUGCAGAGGAGAUUUAGGGUUUUGUGUGAAGAGAACUACAUGUGACCAUCUAGGUUUAUUUAAUUUUAGAUUUUGAUUAUUCUGCCAAUUUUUAAAGAAUUGUAUUUAGCAAAAAUCACUUUUACCCCAAUGUGGUUGUAGUGUUUUAAGCAAUUGCCACUGUAUUUUUAAAAUAUUCAAUUAGCUCACUGUACUUUUUAAAAAUAUUCAAUCAACCCAUUUCGUCCAAUUUGAGUAACCGACGUUAACAAAUCAGCUUGGAUUGCUUAUGUGGCUUUUUAAAAAAAAUAAAUAAUUAAAAUAAAUAUUUUAAUUCAUUUUUAAUAACUUUUUCAUUUCCUAUUUUCUUUCUCCUUCAAAAUGAAUAAAUAAGCCUAAAUAAAAUAAUAAAUAAAAAUAUAAUUUUGCUAAGUAUAAGACCAAUUUUUUUAAAAAAAAAAUUUAGACAAAAAAGAAAUAAUGCAAAUUACACACAUAAAUAAAACAUUAGUUAUCCUCAUUUUUUCCUAAUUAAUUCAAACUCAAACCCCCCUACUUACUGUUCAUCUUCUUCCUCACCAAACUGGAAUUCGUUGACCCACCACCACCAAUCGCCUACCCAAAGCCAUAGAAUCCGGUCAGAACAAUCCAGAAUUAAACUGGUGAUUGACGAACCCAUAGCAUCAGAAAUCCAAUACCCAACACCAGAUCAAAAUAAAAAACAGCCGAUUAACCAAACAAUUUCAUAUUAAAUCCACAACAAAUUUGAGGGAGGGGAAGGAGGAGAUGUCAUUUUUUCCUCUCCUUUCUCUACCACUGGUGAAAUAAGAAUUUUGUAGAAGAGGCAAGAAUGAGCAAUUUCAGAUUUGUGUGUCGUAUGAUCGAGCAAUAUAUCUCUAUAAUUCAUCCAGAUUAGAGAUUUAGAUAGAUACUUAACAAGAAAUUUGGGAUUCAACGAGAGAGGUAGAGGGGCUACGGAGAGAGCACUCAUCUAUGGUCUGUGAUGGUGAAGAUAAGGAUACAUCGCUGAUGAGACAAGAGAGGGUUAAAUAAGAUGAAUAAAAUUAAUUUUAUUAUUAUUUUAAUAAAUAUUAUAAUAUUAAUUUUUAUUAAUAUUAUACAUAUUAUAAAUAUUUAGGUAAAGAAAAAGAAAGAAAAUAAAACAUAAAAAUAUUUUUAUUUUUAAAAUAAAACAUACAUAUUAUAAAUAUUAUAAUAUUAAUAUUUAUUAAUAUUAUACAUAUUAUAAAUAUUUAGGUAAAGAAAAAGAAAGAAAAUAAAACAUAAAAAUAUUUUUAAAAUCACAGUGGGCAAAUUGCAUUGUUUUAAAGUACAGUGGCUCAAUAGUAUUAAGAAUUUGGUUGACUGGCUUGCCACGUAGGAAAUAACUUAUUUUAUUUUAUUUUUUCAAAAGCCACGUAGGAAAAUUGGCACAAUUUUUUAACGUCCGUCCAAUUUCUUGGACGGAAUGGGUUGAUUGAACAUUUUUAAAAAGUACAGUGGGCUAAUUGAAUAUUUUAACAGCUAAAUGGCUAAUUGCUUAAAACACUAUAACCACAGUGGGGUAAAAGUGUUUUUUGUCAAUUGUAUUUAAUUCGACAUUUGAUGGAUUAUCAAUUAUUUAAUAUUUUGAAGUUAUUGAUGUUUUGUUUACUUAUUUUGAAGUCUAUUGUGUUUUGUACGUGACCACCCUUUCUUAUUCGGAAAAGGAGUGUUACAUAAGCAGUUAAUGCUUCUUCAAAAUUUACAAAUCACAAAUAAAAACGAACAAAAAUCUCUCUACAAAUAAAAAUAAUAGAGGGAGUAUAAACUAUUGAGUCUAAUCGACUCCGCUAUUAAAUACAAAAUUAUUACAUUAAUGUGAAGCAAUCCAAACUUUAUGUAAGUGAAUAUAUUGAACCAAAAGAUAGGUAAGUGAACAGAGUAAAGUAGGAUAAGAAAAUGUACCUUGAAAACUCCAAAAUCAAUAACAGAACAGUAUGCAUAUUUGUGGCUUCUACAUGUCAGGCGGGGGCCCACAAUAUGCAUGUGUGUAUGUAAGCAUUAUGUGAGCCUUUUUUAUGUGAUAGUAACAUUGUUCUAUCCAAAAUGUUCACUUACCCCUAUAAAUUCAAAAGAAGUUGUUGCAUCAUAUUGCAAACUUUAAAGAGCUUUAAGGUAUUAUUAUUGAAGCAAUGCCAGAAAUCAUUACUUUGGGUGAGAAAAGGUAAUUUUAUAUUGAGUUUCAAUUUAAGCAAUAUAUAAAAUGGAAAAAAGGGUAAAUUUUUGCAUAUGAAAAUCUCAUUACUUGUGAUUUAAACUUGGCUUCAGGUGUGCUCUUGUGACCGGGGGGAACAAAGGGAUUGGCCUUGAGAUAUGCCGCAAGUUAGCCUCUAAUGGGAUUAGUGUCAUUUUAACCGCUAGAAAUGAGAAAAAUGGUUCAGAAGCUGUUGAGAUGCUUAAAGAUUCUGGCCUCUCAGAUGUGGUCUUCCAUCAACUAGAUGUAACAGAUCCUGCUAGUAUUGCAGCUCUGGCCAAAUUUGUGGAAACCAACUUCAAAAAACUUGACAUUCUGGUAAGAAAACUUAAUAAUAUUCCUUUAAGCGUUCCUAAAUUAGAGUUACAUUUUCCUUUUUCCGUACAUUAUAAAAAAAACUAAUCCAUGUAUCUUGUUAAAGGAGGGGAAGGAAUGAAAAAUAUUGCAUGCAUUUUAUAUACCGCCAUGGUGCAACUGAAACCAAUUUAUAUGCUAAAAAUAAUGCUAUGAGGAAAAUCUUAUGCAGGUCAAUAAUGCAGGAGAUAGUGGAUUGAUUGUAACUAAAGCAAUUAAGGACUAUAAAGAUGGAGCAGGGUUUGUAACUAUUUACAGCUUCCAACUUGUAGCUUUUUUAUCAAAACAUAUUUGCCCUCUGUAUUUAAGGAGAUAUAGCAUUAACUUUUACUAGAUACACUAGUAAUCCGGGAUGUAUUUGAAGUGAACUCCCAUACAUUUGUCCUUGAGAAAAAAAUCAUCCUAUGUUAAACAGAUGAUCGGCAUAAGAUUACUGUGGUAGAUAUAGAAUCUCACUGGACAAACACAAGUGUAACCUCUAUUUUUGUGUCUACCAGCUGAAGGUGACUGAUGAAGAUGCCCAUUUGUUGAAAGGAAUUGUGGAGCAGAGCUAUGAAAUGGCUGAACCUUGUAUCAGAACAAAUUAUUAUGGAACAAAAGCCGUGACUGAAGAACUACUUCCACUCCUCCAACUUUCCAAUUCAGCAAGAAUAGUGAAUGUCUCAUCCAAAUUUGGAGAGCAAAAGGUAACUCAAUUAAUAAGAAUCCGUGCUCAAUCCGAAUAAACACAAAGCUAAAUUCUUCCUUUUACAAUUUCAGUGGAUCCACAAUGAAAACGUCAAAGCCGAGCUGCAAAAUGUAGAAAGCUUAACAGAAGAGAGAAUCGACGAGAUUUUGCAGUUGUUUCUGAGGGAUUUUAAGGAGGAUAAGUUGAAGGUUACCGGUUGGCCUACGACGCUAUCUGCAUAUAAAUUGUCGAAAGCUACGAUCAAUGCCUAUACAAGAUUGCUAGCCAAAAAAUUCCCCAGUAUGCUAGUCAAUUGUGUUCAUCCUGGACAAGUACAAACAGACAUUUCAUGUAACACAG
rnacentral:lncRNA from 1 species